UGGUAGGAGAGCGUUCUGUAAGCCUGUGAAGGUGCGUUGUAAAGCGUGCUGGAGGUAUCAGAAGUGCGAAUGCUGACAUGAGUAGCGUUAAAGGGGGUGAAAAGCCCCCUCGCCGUAAGCGCAAGGUUUUCUACGCAACGUUCAUCGGCGUAGAGUGAGUCGGCCCCUAAGGCGAGGCAGAGAUGCGUAGCUGAUGGGAAACAGGUCAAUAUUCCUGUACCGAUGUGUAGUGCG
rnacentral:rRNA from 1 species